rnacentral:rRNA from 1 species
AAAGGGGCCGUAGCUUGAUAAUAGGGUCCCUUGAGAAAUCCGCCGGCUUAACUGGCGGGCGUUCAGGGGAAACUUGUUUUCUAGGGACCGGGAGAGGUGAGGGGUACUGCCGGGGUAGGAGUGAAAUCCUGUAAUCCCGGUGGGACCACCUAUGGCGAAGGCAUCUCACCAGAACGGGUCCGACAGUGAGGGACGAAAGCUGGGGGAGCAAACCGGAUUAGAUACCCGGGUAGUCCCAGCUGUAAACUAUGUGCGUUAGGUGUGUCAGUGACCACGUGUCACUGAGGUGCCGAAGGGAAACCGUGAAACGCACCGCCUGGGGAGUACGGUCGCAAGGCUGAAACUUAAAGGAAUUGGCGGGGGAGCACCACAACGGGUGGAGCCUGCGGUUUAAUCGGACUCAACGCCGGGAAUCUCACCGGAUAAGACAGCUGAAUGAUAGUCGGGAUGAAGACUCUACUUGACUAGCUGAGAGGAGGUGCAUGGCCGUCGUCAGUUCGUACUGUGAAGCAUCCUGUUUAGUCAGGCAACGAGCGAGACCCACGCGAGCAGUUGCCAGCUUGACCUUCGGGUUGAUGGGGACACUGCUCGGACCGCCUCUGCUAAAGGGGAGGAAGGACUGGGCAACGGUAGGUCAGCAUGCCCCGAAUUAUCCGGGCUACACGCGGGCUACAAUGGACAGGACAAUGAGUUUCGACACCGAGAGGUGAGGAUAAUCUUCUAACCCUGUCCCAAGUUCGGAUUGCGGGUUGUAACUCACCCGCAUGAAGCUGGAAUCCGUAGUAAUCGCGUUUCAACAUACCGCGGUGAAUAUGUCCCUGCUCCUUGCACACACCGCCCGUAA